UUUAGGGACUUCUGUCGUAGGAGAGAUGACGCCUUCUGUUACAUGUUUGCAAUUAGCAGUAGUUGUCAUCUAUUCUCGGCUGAAGCCCCUCCACAG
rnacentral:pre_miRNA from 1 species